AUCUGGAAGGAAUCUGGAGACAGGUGCUGCAUGGCUGUCGUCAGCUCGUGUCGUGAGAUGUUGGGUUAAGUCCCGCAACGAGCGCAACCCUUGCCUUUAGUUGCCAGCAGUUCGGCUGGGCACUCUAAAGGGACUGCCGGUGUUAAACCGGAGGAAGGUGGGGAUGACGUCAAGUCCUCAUGGCCUUUAUGACCAGGGCUACACACGUACUACAAUGGCCGAUACAAAGGGCAGCGACACUGCGAGGUGAAGCCAAUCCCGUAAAAUCGGUCUCAGUCCGGAUUGGAGUCUGCAACUCGACUCCAUGAAGUUGGAAUCGCUAGUAAUCGUGGAUCAGCAUGCCACGGUGAAUACGUUCCCGGGCCUU
rnacentral:rRNA from 1 species